rnacentral:lncRNA from 1 species
GAGCAACCUCACAACUUUGGGAACCAAUGAGCUACCAAGAAGCCUGAGGAGUAGAGAGAGGCUGCUGAACAAGAGCAGAGAAGCUGAUCUUGGUGGCUCUGUCAUGCUUUCUGAUUGUCACGGGCAUGGGGAGGAUUUCUUUGAUCCAACUCAUGUCCAGCAGGCAUCAUGUCUGAGAAGCAGGGACCCUGGAGGAGUUCAGGACAGACCACCAGCUGGACGUUUCUCUUUGAGCUAGCUAUCUGAGACUGUUUCCUCUGAAAGUGUAUUUAUGUGCCCAGAUGAUAUAAGAGCACUUACAUAAUUAUGUGAGUGGAUUCUGUGAGUUGACUGGAGAUCUGUGGACAUCUGGCUCUGAAACGCCACAAACCAACCUGGACUCCCCAAGGGGCUCAGGGUGAGCUGUGCUUUUCUUUUGUUGGAGAGUUUUUCCUAUUUGCAUGUGGAGGGAGAAGUGGCAUUGGUUCAAUAUGGUCUGUCUCAGGUGACUUUCAGACAGUAGGGUUCAGUGUGGAGCUUUGCUGAAUCCUGCCCUGUUGGAGUCCUACUGAUGGGACUGGGAGUGGUAUUGCGGGGAGGGUCCUGGACUUGCGCUCUGAAGAUCUGCAUUUGAAUUUUUUAAAUUGCUGCGUAACCUUGAGCAAGUAGUUUAACUUCUCAUGAUCUCCUCCCAUCAUCUGGAAACAAGAGAGUCAGACCAGAUCACCCCAAAGGAUCAUAACAGGCUUGGCAGCACGGACUUCCCACUGGGUGACUCUGAUGUCACUGAACAU